rnacentral:misc_RNA from 1 species
GGUUAUUCUCUCUACUUUGUAAACUUUUGAAUGCAAACAUCUAUAUCCAAAGUAAAGGUAUAAAACGUUUAUUCAAUAUCAUCCCAUACAAAUCUCCCUCAACCAAGAACUUGGUACUGAUCAUUCAUCACUUGAUGCAACCAGGCAUCAUCUAUCCUUCUUUUUCAUGAUGUCCCAUUUGAAAUAGGUGCUUCAGCUAGUUCCCUUAGAAAAGCAACAACGUCGUCUGGCGUACUGAGCAGAUACCGAGCGUUUGUACGAGUCCUUCCAACUGCACAAGAGAAGUAAUUCUCCUUCUUCAGAUCCAGCACAUUCCAUGACACAUUUUCAGGUGAGGGCCGUCGCCCAUUGGAAGUCUUCUUAUCCGAGUUUGAAACUGGUCUGUUCCUAUUCUGAGAUGACUUUGAGCUAGUUCGACUAGAAGGGAGUUUUGGAACUGAUCGCCUUUCCCCGGGCACCUUUGGUGCAUCACUGACCUUACUUCUUGGCAUACCGAUGCAGUCAGAAGGAAGCUCUGGCUCAAAAAAUGUA